ACUUUACUUUGAACAAAUCAGAGUGCUCAAAACAGGCGUUUCGCUUGAAUGUUCGUGCAUGGAAUAAUAGAAGAGGAUUUCGGUUCAAUUUUAUUGGUUUUAUUGACUGAGAUAAUGGUUAACAGAGACAAACGGGGGCAUUAGUAUUGCCACGUGAGAGGUGAAAUUCUUGGACCGUGGCAAGACUGACUACAGCGAAAGCAUUUGCCAAGAAUGUCUUCAUUAAUCAAGAACGAAAGUCAGAGGUUCGAAGGCGAUCAGAUACCGCCCUAGUUCUGACCGUAAACGAUGCCAACUAGCGAUCCGCCGAUGGAAACACAAAUUGCCAUGGUGGGGAGCUUCCCGGAAACGAAAGUCUUCCGGUUCCGGGGGAAGUAUGGUUGCAAAGCUGAAACUUAAAGGAAUUGACGGAAGGGCACCACCAGGAGUGGAGCCUGCGGCUUAAUUUGACUCAACACGGGGAAACUCACCCGGCCCGGACACCGUAAGGAUUGACAGAUUGACAGCUUUUUCAUGAUUCGGUGGAUGGUGGUGCAUGGCCGUUCUUAGUUCGUGGAGCGAUCUGUCUGGUUUAUUCCGAUAACGAGCGAGACUCUGGCCUACUAACUAGUCCGCGCAUUGCCUCUGUGCCGUUGGACUUCUUAGAGGGAUUCGCGGUGUUCAGCCGCAAGAAAUGGAGCAAUAACAGGUCUGUGAUGCCCUUAGAUGUCCGGGGCUGCACGCGCGCUACACUGGCAGAAUCAGCUGGCUUGUCCUGCCCCGAAAGGGGCGGGUAAACCCGUGAAAAUCUGCCGUGAUUGGGAUCGGAAAUUGCAAUUAUUUUCCGUGAACGAGGAAUUCCAAGUAAGUGCGUGUCAUCAACACGCGUUGAUUACGUCCCUGCCCUUUGUA
rnacentral:rRNA from 1 species